rnacentral:misc_RNA from 1 species
GAUGAAGAACGCAGUGAAAUGCGAUAAGUAAUGUGAAUUGCAGAAUUCAGUGAAUCAUCGAAUCUUUGAACGCAUAUUGCGCUCUCUGGUAUUCCGGAGAGCAUGCUUGUUUGAGUAUCAGUAAACACCUCAACUCCCUUUUCUUUUUUGAAAUUGGAGCUGGACUUGAGUGAUCCCAACGCUUUCUUCCAAGAAAGUGGCGGGUUGCUUGAAAUGCAGGUGCAGCUGAACUUUUCUCUGAGCUAUAAGCAUAUCUAUUUAGUCUGCCUAAAAAACAGAUUAUUACCUUUGCUGCAGCUAACAUAAAGGAGACUAGUUCUUGUGCUGACUGAUGCAGGAUUCACAGAGACAGCUUCGGCUGACUUUGUAAACUCGAUCUCAAAUCAAGUAAGACUACCCGCUGAACUUAAGCAUAUCAAUAAGCGGAGGA